GCUUAAUGAGCCAAGGCAGGUUAAGGAGGGUCAUAAGGAAAAAAAUUAAAGGACAGCAGAGAACCCAUUACACUAUUAAAGGAAUCACAAGAAGUAAUGGAAUAAUGGAAUUACUAUUCAUGGUUUUAUUGGACUAGAAAUUCCUCAAGUUGAGUUCAG